GCAGUGACAUCCCGACAACGGGGACGCAGUUACGUGUGCUGUCACUUACACCCCCAAACAAAACCUCUCGUGUAUCUCUCUCUCACACAGUCUGUUAUGGAAAAGGUGUCUGGUACGGAAAUGCGCACACACGAUGAUCGCUACGCAGUGUGAGUGUGUGCGCUUGCAUGGUUACGCUCAUAAGCGUUGUUGCCCUCUCGGGAAAGUCUAAAAGUCGCGCACACACAUGGUGAUCACUACGGAGUGUGAGUGUGUGUGCGCGCGCGCGCACAAACYAAAGCAUAAAGCAUAAAGCAAGCAAGCAAGCAAGCAAGCAAGAGAGAGAGAGAAAGAGAGUGGGUGAGCGUGAGUUGAUGAUUGCAUGAGUCCCCUGCGUCUGGUUCUAUGUCCGGCGAAAGGGAAUGGGGACUUUGUUCCUUGACCGGUCCCGGCACCCUCGAUUGGCUUUGCCAAUCAAUGGUCCAUGCAAAUGGAACCAGGCCACAGCCGUCGGCAGUCGCCCGAGGAAGAGUUUUCUUUUCUGCUUAACGCACGAGGUCAUCCCUGGAAACAGUUCGGCUGGCGAAAGGGUGCCCCGUUGCGGCAGAGCGCCACGACUGUCGUGCGCGUCUCGGUGUACCUGCUGAUCCGUGAAAACGUGGUCGAGGGGAGUGCUCUUGUAUCAACGAAACGUCCGACAAGUUCGGGACGGACCGUACCCUAUAUCCGCAUCUGGUCUCCAAGGUUCGUAGCCUCUGCAGAGUCAGACACAUGUAGGUAAGGGAAGUCGGCAAACUCGAUCCGUAACUUCGGGAAAAGGAUUGGCUCUGAGGGCCGAGCUGGGCC
rnacentral:rRNA from 1 species